AGAGUUUGAUCAUGGCUCAGGACGAACGCUGGCGGCGUGCUUAACACAUGCAAGUCGAACGGAAAGGCCCUUCGGGGUGCUCGAGUGGCGAACGGGUGAGUAACACGUGGGUGAUCUGCCCUGCACUUUGGGAUAAGCCUGGGAAACUGGGUCUAAUACCGAAUAGGACUCCGGACUGCAUGGUCUGGGGUGGAAAGCUUUUGCGGUGUGGGAUGGGCCCGCGGCCUAUCAGCUUGUUGGUGGGGUGAUGGCCUACCAAGGCGACGAUCGUUAGCUGGUCUGAGAGGACGAUCAGCCACACUGGCACUGCGACACGGGCCAGACUCCUACGGGAGGCAGCAGUAAGGAAUAUUGCGCAAUGGACGAAAGUCUGACGCAGCGACGCCGCGUGGGGGAUGAAGGUCUUCGGAUUGUAAACCCCUUUCGGGAGGGAAGAUGGAGUGGGUAACCACUUGGACGGUACCUCCAGAAGCAGCCACGGCUAACUUCGUGCCAGCAGCCGCGGUAAUACGAAGGUGGCAAGCGUUGUUCGGAUUCACUGGGCGUACAGGGAGCGUAGGCGGUUGGGUAAGCCCUCCGUGAAAUCUCCGGGCCUAACCCGGAAAGUGCAGAGGGGACUGCUCAGCUAGAGGAUGGGAGAGGAGCGCGGAAUUCCCGGUGUAGCGGUGAAAUGCGUAGAGAUCGGGAGGAAGGCCGGUGGCGAAGGCGGCGCUCUGGAACAUUUCUGACGCUGAGGCUCGAAAGCGUGGGGAGCAAACAGGAUUAGAUACCCUGGUAGUCCAA
rnacentral:rRNA from 1 species